rnacentral:lncRNA from 1 species
AGCUUAAAAGAUAAUUACAUAAUUAAAAUUUAAUUCAAAAAAAUUCCUAAUAAUCCAAAACAAUUGCAUAACUGGCCAAAAAGAGAAAUUCCAAAUUAAAGUUUGUACAUGUUACAACCAAUCCCUAAGUUCAUAAUCCAAAAGGUCUGUGUUACAUCAGAAAUAAUUUUAUUAAAAAAUUGGAAUAAGACACAGCAGUUUGAGGCAAAUUUCACAGACUCUUCCAAAAGCUCUUUUGGAAGUUCCUUGGAAGUUCCCAAUUCAAAAGCAACUCUUCAGAACUUUCCCAAAAAACCUGUUGAAUAAUAGUGCCUCUUUUUCAAUCAAUCAGCAUCAACAUCACUUCACCUGCAAAAACCAAUUCAAAAUCAAAAAACAGCUUAUUCAAAAAGCACUUUUCAAAAGCGCUUAAAAAACUGAAAAAUAACUAAACAAAUUACUCAGUUUGAAGCUUUGUCCAUAAGGUUAACAUAAACAUCCAAAAAGCACUUUUGGCAUUAGCUUAAAACAGAAUAAACCAAAUCCCACAUAAUCUAGGAUGGAAAAUUCAAAAAGCAAGGAGUUUCUUAAAGACCGAAUCUGAUCUUCAAAAACGAAAGAGGGGAGAUUAACAGCAAGAACAACAACAAUAACAGGAACGAUAUUUUUUCUCAAAAGAACCUAAUCAAGGACAACAACAACAUAAACAUGGCCAAGCAAUUCUUCAAAAAAACCUAAAACCAAAACGAAUACAGCAAGACAUCAACAAUACAACAUUAAAACAAACAGAAACCAAAUUGAAACGACGCUACCGGAAACGCAACCCCCAACCGCCGCCGUCACAACCGUCUCACCACCAUCAACCCUCACUAACCUCAAUCGCAACGGUAACAGAAACAAAGGAAAAGAGAAGAAGGAUUUGGCGAGCACCGUCGCGAAACACAAGAGGAAGGAGAUUGUAUUGACGUCGCGAUUUAACGUCAUCUAUCUUUGUUUAUACAACUGCGUGAUUCGAGCAAGCAAGGCGAUUAUCUGUGAAUCGGAGAGUGUGUCGUUGACGAGCGCCGGCGUGAAGGGAGCACAUCCGUAACGGAGGUGCUGGCUUGCGAUGAUGGUGAAUCAGGAUUACGUUAGCAUCUGAGAACGGCGAAGUGAUGAGGCGCGGUGAAGAUGCUGAGGCGAAGGUUAUUGAUUUUGACUGUUUUUUCAUAAUCGCUUUUUUCUUCUCCCUAUUUCAGCUUGUGUGGUGAAUGUUGAUGUUAACCUCUUUGAAGCAUUGGGCCUCAGGCCCAAAACAGGCUCUCUACA